AAGCGUCUGUAGGUGCUUCAGUAAGUCUGCGGUAAAGUCCGGGGCUCAACCCCGGGAGCGUCGUGGAAACUACUGAAGUUGAGCAGUGGAGAGGCAUCUGGAAUGCCGCAUGUAGGAGUAAAAUCCGUAGAUAUGCGGUAGAACGCCAAAAGCGAAGGCAGGAUGCUAGCCACUUGCUGACACUGAGAGACGAAAGCGUGGGGAGCGAAGGGGAUUAGAUACCCCCGUAGUCCACGCCCUAAACGAUGCGAGCUCGAUGUGGGAGGUUCUCAAUUGCCUUCCGUGUCCAAGCUAACGCGGUAAGCUCGCCGCCUGGGAAGUACGGUCGCAAGACUAAAACUCAAAGGAAUAGACGGGGACCCACACAAGCGGUGGAGCAUGGGGUUUAAUUCGAUAGUAAGCGAAGAACCUCACCUAGGCUUGACAUCUAGCGAACCUCCCAGAAACGGGAGGGUGCCGCAAGGAACGCUAAGACAGGCGCUGCACGGUUGUCGUCAGCUCGUGCCUUGAGGUGUACUGUUAAGUCAGCGAACGAGCGCAACCCUCAUCCUAUGUUGUUUUUUCAUGGGAGACUGCCGCCUCCAAGGCGGAGGAAGGUGGGGAUGACGUCAAAUCAGCGUGGCCCUUAUGCCUAGGGCAACACCCGUGCUACAAUGGCCGGUACAAACAGUUGCGAAUCCGCGAGGAGGAGCCAAUCUGAAAAAGCCGGUCUCAGUUCGGAUUGAAGUCUGCAACUCGACUUCAUGAAGUUGGAAUCGCUAGUAACCGUAAAUCAGCUACGUUACGGUGAAUAUGUUCCUGGGUCUUGUACUCACCGCCCGUCAAGUCAUGAAAGGUAGAAGCACCUGAAAGGACCUUUACUCUUCGGAGGGGGUACCACGGUGAAGCUACUGAUUGGGACUAAGUCGUAACAAGGUAA
rnacentral:rRNA from 1 species